rnacentral:rRNA from 1 species
UACGGAGGGUGCAAGCGUUGUCCGGAAUUAUUGGGCGUAAAGAGCUCGUAGGCGGUUUGUUGCGUCGGCUGUGAAAUCCCGAGGCUCAACCUCGGGUCUGCAGUCGAUACGAGCAAACUAGAGUGUUGCAGGGGAGACUGGAAUUCCUGGUGUAGCGGUGAAAUGCGCAGAUAUCAGGAGGAACACCGGUGGCGAAGGCGGGUCUCUGGGCCACAACUGACGCUGAGGAGCGAAAGCGUGGGGAGCGAACAGG